AUUGAACGCUGGCGGAAUGCUUUACACAUGCAAGUCGAACGGCAGCACGGACUUCGGUCUGGUGGCGAGUGGCGAACGGGUGAGUAAUACAUCGGAACGUGCCCAGUCGUGGGGGAUAACGUAGCGAAAGCUACGCUAAUACCGCAUACGAUCUAAGGAUGAAAGCGGGGGAUCGCAAGACCUCGCGCGAUUGGAGCGGCCGAUGGCAGAUUAGGUAGUUGGUGGGGUAAAGGCUCACCAAGCCGACGAUCUGUAGCUGGUCUGAGAGGACGACCAGCCAAACCGGGACUGAGAGACGGCCCACACUCCUACGGGAGGCAGCAGUGCGGAAUUUUGGACAAUGGGCGCAAGUCUGAUGCAGCCAUUCCGCGUGCAGGAUGAAGGCCCUCGGGUGGUAAACUGCUUUUGUACGGAACGAAAAGGCUCUGGUUAAUACCUGGGGCUCAUGACGGUACCGUAAGAAUAAGCACCGGCUAACUACGUGCCAGCCGCCGCCGUAA
rnacentral:rRNA from 1 species